UUCCUACUAGUUUGGGUGGCAUUUUAGGUUUUGAGGAGUUGCAGUUGAGUGUCAAUCAGUUAUCAGGUGCUUUGAUCGUGAGGUGAAUCAAGAAUUUGGAGCUGCAAUCAGUAGAGAGGAACAUGUGGAUGCUUGAAGACUGUGUUGGGAUUAAUGUUUUGUGCGUGGAACAAAUUCAAUUGGUCGUUGUUCAAUCGUGGAAAGCAUGUUUUUGUGCUUGAUAUUCCCACUUAAUUCCUUUCUUGGGAAACGACAAAGAGAUGCCGAAGCAAAAUCGGGUGAAAAAUCUGUUCAAAUCAAUCAAAGGGAGCUUUUCGCUUGCUCCAGAGCAGUCAUCACAUGCUCAGUCUCAGGCUCAAGCUUCAUAUUCAUCUUCUGGUCGAGACUCUUUACGUCACACACAACCCAUCAUUCCAUCUUCAUCAACUAAUAGAGUCUCGUCACAAAAUGGCAUUCCAGCUUCAUCAAUUAAUAGAGUCUCCUCACAGAAUCGCAUUCCAUCUUCAUCAACUAACAGAGUCUCGUCACAGAAUGGUAUUCCAGCUUCAUCAACUAAUAGAGUCUCGUCACAGAAUGGCAUUCCAUCUUUUUUGUAUCUUCUUGCUGUUUGUUUGUUUUUAAAAAAUCUUUUCUUGGAUCAAUAUUAUCUAUACAAGAUUAAUAUAACGUAUUUGCUGAUACUUCAGAAUAUUGAUUGGAUUCUUGAGAUUUCUUUAUAUACUCAUUGAACUCUGAACUUGUUGUGAGUCAUUUAAUGUUAAAUAUUUUUUAAAAAAAUUCAUCCUUUUUGGCAAAUUCUGAGUUGAGUUUGUAAAAGGAAGCAAAUUCUUUUCUGUAAAAAUGAUACUGUAUAUGUUCUGUUUUUUUUGGCAAUGUAAUAAUUUUUAUUACAUUUGAGUAAUAGUUGUCUAUUCCUUGAUGUUUGGCAAAGCACUGUCUGAAGUUUCACAAAGGGUAGAAAUUUCAAGUCUUUUUUGUUGAUUUAGUCCACUCGUGACUGUUGUUUGGUUUCUCAAAGUUGCCAGAGUUCUGCUUGCUAUAUUCUAAUAUUCUCUUUCGGGGAGCUUGCAGUUAUUCCAGUGUGGAGUUUCUGUAAUAAGCUCGUGAUAUUAGACUGACCAUGAAGCUCAAUUGAUUGCAAAUUGUUUCUUUGAAUAUGAUGUUUCAUUCAUUGCUUCUUUAUUUUCUAUCCGGUGUUAGUGCAUCCAAUAUAAUUUUUAGUUGAAAUGGUUUGUGGAGUUUCAAUAGUAAAUCAUAAUUCAUCUAAAGUUCAGCAGUCCAAUAAAUUUCUUUAAACCUAUGUUAGAAAUGGUUUGUGGAGUUUGCAGAUGGUAACACUAUCUGUUUGAUUGAAAGAAAUGAAGUUAUUGUUGAUACAGG